rnacentral:lncRNA from 10 species
GGUGGAGCUGGAAAGGUGGAGGCGGAAGUGACUGAUCAAUUCAGGGGCGUGGGGUUCGUUUAGGUUUUGCCCUGUGUAUGACCUCGUUUGGAGCCAUGAAACCAGGUGGCUUUUCUACAAUAUAAAGAUGGAAAUGGGAAGAAGAUGUUCAUUGCAAAUUAAGGAAGCUCUUCCACGAGUUCACGAAUGGAAAUAACAUCAAGAGUUUUUCAUCUUCUUAGUGUGCAAGAACACAGCAUAGUAUGUGACAUAAAGGCUUGAUGACUGUGUUGAAUGAAUGUAUGUUGUUAUUUUAGGGCAAUGAUGGAAAGCACCAAGUGGAGUCUGGAGCUAGACUGAUCUGUGUUCAAUCCUGUCUUGGUUACUCAUUGGGGGGCCUCGACUUUCAUGUCUCUGUAAUGUCCCUGACAGUAUCUGCCUCACAGGGUUGCUGUGAGAGUCAAGCGAGAUGUCUGAGGAAUAGUCUUAGUGGAUUAUCCCAAACUUGACACAUUUUUUGCAAAAUGCUAUACAAAAAGAAGAUACAUGCGAUUAUGACAAGAUUCUCCACUUGGUGUGACCAGUCUCAUACAACCCAAGGCUGUGUGUCCAAAGGCAACUGUACUGAAUACCGGAAAGCAUGUAUUUGUUUGCUAAAUUGCUCUCUUUCCACCAGUGAUAUCAAUUCUGAAAUACUUUUGAGAUCUUGACAAUAAUCAAAAGGUAGCCAGGUGCAUCGGGGAAAGCACUGACAUUGGAGUCAGAC